AAAGACUGCUGCAGUGGAGGGCUUCAGUGGUUUUUUCCCUCUCUGCAGGCAUUUCCCACGGAGUGGGCUCUGGCUGUUCCAGUUCUCUACUACCUGACCGCUGUGUAGGGAUGCAAGGCUUAAGUGAUCUUCUUCCUUCUAAAGAGGAUAUGCACAGGUUGUACUGACUUGAACAGCUUCAUCGGCCACAGAUCAGUCGACUUCACAGUUUCUUAGAUCUCUGGACCUCUGGGAAAUAAAGGAAGCCCUUUGGCAGACUCAGGUGUUCACGGUUCCUGCAUCUGCUUCAAAGCUUCUUUCCAGAGGAAUGAUGGCGUCAUGCUUCUGUCCGGUCUUCAGCCUUGAGAUCCACCUUCUGCAGCUCAAGACAAGGUAAGGUAUGGGUCCAUGGAAAGGGAACAUUCCAUCUCAUAAAGGCAUUGCUGA
rnacentral:lncRNA from 1 species